rnacentral:rRNA from 1 species
UACGUAGGGUGCAAGCGUUAAUCGGAAUUACUGGGCGUAAAGCGUGCGCAGGCGGUGAUGUAAGACAGAUGUGAAAUCCCCGGGCUCAACCUGGGAACUGCAUUUGUGACUGCAUCGCUGGAGUACGGCAGAGGGGGAUGGAAUUCCGCGUGUAGCAGUGAAAAUGCGUAGAUAUGCGGAGGAACACCGAUGGCGAAGGCAAUCCCCUGGGCCUGUACUGACGCUCAUGCACGAAAGCGUGGGGAGCAAACAGG